rnacentral:rRNA from 1 species
AUUGAACGCUGGCGGCAGGCUUAACGCAUGCAAGUCGAGCGGGGGAAGGUAGCUUGCUACUGGACCUAGCGGCGGACGGGUGAGUAAUGCUUAGGAAUCUGCCUAUUAGUGGGGGACAACAUCUCGAAAGGGAUGCUAAUACCGCAUACGUCCUACGGGAGAAAGCAGGGGAGCUUCGGACCUUGCGCUAAUAGAUGAGCCUAAGUCGGAUUAGCUAGUGGGUGGGGUAAAGGCCUACCAAGGCGACGAUCUGUAGCGGGUCUGAGAGGAUGAUCCACCACACUGGGACUGAGACACGGCCCAGACUCCUACGGGAGGCAGCAGUGGGGAAUAUUGGACAAUGGGGGGAACCCUGAUCCAGCCAUGCCGCGUGUGUGAAGAAGGCCUUAUGGUUGUAAAGCACUUUAAGCGAGGAGGAGGCUACUUUAGUUAAUACCUAGAGAUAGUGGACGUUACUCGCAGAAUAAGCACCGGCUAACUCUGUGCCAGCAGCCGCAGUAA